rnacentral:lncRNA from 1 species
AAUCCUUAUAAGGGGGGUAGAAUGUAAUAUCCCAUAUUAUUAAAUUUAGAUUUGAUUAUUAUAAAUCUAUUUGUCUAAAUAUUAUUGUUGGCUUUAGUUGAAAAGUGAAUUGAUUAUGUGAAUAGUUUUAUAUGAUUAUACUUGUUCUGUGGAUUAAUAUGGAUUUUACAGAUUAUGCGUCCUCCUUCUUUCUCUGAUUCCGAGGACGGAAUCCCUAUAAGGAGGGUAGAUUGUAAUGACCCGGAUUUUUAAAAAUAUUUUUAUUAGUAUU